UACGGAGGGUGCAAACGUUGCUCGGAAUUACUGGGCGUAAAGCGUGCGCAGGCGGUGAUGUAAGACAGGUGUGAAAUCCCCGGGCUUAACCUGGGAACUGCAUUUGUGACUGCAUCGCUGGAGUGCGGCAGAGGGGGAUGGAAUUCCGCGUGUAGCAGUGAAAUGCGUAGAUAUGCGGAGGAACACCGAUGGCGAAGGCAAUCCCCUGGGCCUGCACUGACGCUCAUGCACGAAAGCGUGGGGAGCAAACAGG
rnacentral:rRNA from 1 species